rnacentral:rRNA from 1 species
UGGAGCCUGCGGUUUAAUUGGAUCAACGCCGGAAAUCUCACCGGGGCGACAGCAAUAUGAAGGUCAGGCUGAAGACCUUACCCGAUUAGCUGAGAGGUGGUGCAUGGCCGUCGUCAGUUCGUACUGUGAAGCACCCUGUUAAGUCAGGCAACGAGCGAGACCCACGUCCACAGUUGCCAGCAUACCCUCCGGGGUGAUGGGUACACUGUGGAGACCGCCGCUGCUAAAGCGGAGGAAGGAGUGGGCAACGGUAGGUCAGUAUGCCCCGAAUCUCCCGGGCUACACGCGGGCUACAAUGGUUGGUACAAUGGGCAUCUACCCCGAAAGGGGAAGGAAAUCUCUUAAAGCCAAUCGUAGUUCGGAUUGAGGGCUGCAACUCGCCCUCAUGAAGCUGGAAUCCGUAGUAAUCGCGUUUCAACAGAACGCGGUGAAUACGUCCCUGCUCCUU